rnacentral:rRNA from 1 species
GACGAACGCUGGUGGCGUGCUUAACACAUGCAAGUCGAACGGGAUUUAGUAAACAGAAGCCUCGGUGGAAGAUUACUAAUGAGAGUGGCGAACGGGUGAGUAACGCGUGAGCAACCUGCCUAUGACAGUGGGAUAGCCUCGGGAAACCGGGAUUAAUACCGCAUAAAAUCGUAGAAACACAUGUUUUAACGGUCAAAGAUUUAUCGGUCAUAGAUGGGCUCGCGUCUGAUUAGCUAGUUGGUGAGAUAACAGCCCACCAAGGCGACGAUCAGUAGCCGGUCUGAGAGGAUGAACGGCCACAUUGGAACUGAGACACGGUCCAAACUCCUACGGGAGGCAGCAGUGGGGAAUAUUGCACAAUGGGGGAAACCCUGAUGCAGCGACGCUGCGUGAACGAAGAAGGUAUUCGUAUCGUAAAGUUCUGUCCUAUGGGAAGAUAAUGACAGUACCAUAGAAGAAAGCUCCGGCUAAAUACGUG